CCUGAUGUGAUCAUAAAGGUUGAACAAGACGAUGAGUCAUGGCCGCCCGUAAAAUCAGAGCAAGAAGAGAAGCCCUUGAGCCCGCCUCUCCCCGAAGGAGAAACCUUACCAGGAACCCCUUCAGGGUUUCCUGCUGUGAUAAUAAAGAAGGAAGAAGAUGAAGAUCUGUGGGUACUGUACCGCCAGGGCUCUGAGGAAAAUGAAACUUUCCCUGCUGCACAGCCAGGCAUGAAACGCGGCAGCAAGGGAGGACAGCUUCGCAGUGGCAACCUUCCAAUUAUGGAAUGAGCUCCCUGGCGAGGCCCCCUGGCACCAAUAUCGUUAUCUUGGCAGAGCUGGGUGAUGACUUUACUCCCAGACAGUUGGCAGCAUAUGAUGUUUUGAACCUGGUCAUGGGGUAUUUAUUAUUCAGGUCUGUGUGGAGU
rnacentral:lncRNA from 1 species